AUUGAACGCUGGCGGCAGGCCUAACACAUGCAAGUCGAGCGGAUGAAGGGAGCUUGCUCCUGGAUUCAGCGGCGGACGGGUGAGUAAUGCCUAGGAAUCUGCCUGGUAGUGGGGGAUAACGUCCGGAAACGGGCGCUAAUACCGCAUACGUCCUGAGGGAGAAAGUGGGGGAUCUUCGGACCUCACGCUAUCAGAUGAGCCUAGGUCGGAUUAGCUAGUUGGUGGGGUAAAGGCCUACCAAGGCGACGAUCCGUAACUGGUCUGAGAGGAUGAUCAGUCACACUGGAACUGAGACACGGUCCAGACUCCUACGGGAGGCAGCAGUGGGGAAUAUUGGACAAUGGGCGAAAGCUGAUCCAGCCAUGCCGCGUGUGUGAAGAAGGUCUUCGGAUUGUAAAGCACUUUAAGUUGGGAGGAAGGGCAGUAAGUUAAUACCUUGCUGUUUUGACGUUACCAACAGAAUAAGCACCGGCUAACUUCGUG
rnacentral:rRNA from 1 species